rnacentral:rRNA from 1 species
UACAGAGGGGGCUAGCGUUAUUCGGAAUUAUUGGGCGUAAAGGGCGCGUAGGCGGCCAUGCGUGUCUUCCGUGAAAUCCCUCGGCUUAACUGAGGACGUGCGGAAGAAACUGCAAGGCUCGAGUCCGGGAGAGGGGGGUGGAAUUCCCAGUGUAGCGGUGAAAUGCGUAGAUAUUGGGAGGAACACCGGUGGCGAAGGCGGCCCCCUGGACCGGUACUGACGCUGAGGCACGAAAGCGUGGGGAGCAAACAGG